rnacentral:rRNA from 1 species
GGGCUGCAGCAGGGAAUAUUGCGCAAUGGACGAAAGUCUGACGCAGCGACGCCGCGUGGAGGAAGAAGGCUCUCGGGUCGUAAACUCCUUUUUCUGGGGACGAACAAUGACGGUACCCAGGGAAUAAGUCUCGGCCAACUACGUGCCAGCAGCCGCGGUAAUACGUAGGAGGCAAGCGUUAUCCGGAUUUAUUGGGCGUAAAGAGGGAGUAGGCGGCCCUUCAAGUCGGAUGUAAAAUCUCCCGGCUCAACCGGGAGGGAUCGUCCGAUACUGUUGGGCUGGAGUGCAGCAGAGGGAGUUGGAAUUCCCGGUGUAGUGGUGAAAUGCGUAGAUAUCGGGAGGAACACCAGUGGCGAAGGCGAGCUCCUGGGCUGUAACUGACGCUGAUGCCCGAAAGCGUGGGGAGCGAACAGGAUUAGAUACCCCUGUAGUC